UUUACAGUUUCUUUCCAAAAUACGGUUCUUUCGUCUUCUUCCUCCUUGCGUGCUCUCCCGCUCAAUUGUUCUCCCUCCAAAUUCUCCGGCAAGAACUUCCCAAAUUGUCAGUCUCUCGUUAGAAGGUUAGCCACUUCGUGACCGGUUUCCAAUUCAUACCUUCCAAAAAGGGUGUUUGCCAGGGCGAUUAUAAUCGGUGAUAUUUGUUAACUAACGAACUGCUCAACUUUUCCAGGAUGGUUAUCAAGGGACAAAGUGGUAGCAGCAGCAAACCUAGGG